ensembl:piRNA 21ur-4727 ncRNA
UUAGGCCUAGGAUUUCUCUAG